AGCGAACGCUGGCGGCAGGCUUAACACAUGCAAGUCGAGCGCCGUAGCAAUACGGAGCGGCAGACGGGUGAGUAACACGUGGGAACGUACCCUUUAGUUCGGAACAACCAAGGGAAACUUUGGCUAAUACCGGAUAAGCCCUUACGGGGAAAGAUUUAUCGCUAAAGGAUCGGCCCGCGUCUGAUUAGCUAGUUGGUGGGGUAAUGGCCCACCAAGGCGACGAUCAGUAGCUGGUCUGAGAGGAUGAUCAGCCACACUGGGACUGAGACACGGCCCAGACUCCUACGGGAGGCAGCAGUGGGGAAUAUUGGACAAUGGGGGCAACCCUGAUCCAGCCAUGCCGCGUGAGUGAUGAAGGCCUUAGGGUUGUAAAGCUCUUUCGUUGGGGAAGAUAAUGACGGUACCCAAAGAAGAAGCCCCGGCUAACUUCGUGCCAGCAGCCGCCGCGUAAAAC
rnacentral:rRNA from 1 species